rnacentral:rRNA from 1 species
UACAGAGGUCUCAACCGUUGUUCGGAUUCAUUGGGCGUAAAGGGUGCGUAGGCGGUCGCGCAAGUCGGAUGUGAAAUCUCAGGGCUCAACCCUGAAACUGCAUUCGAUACUGCGUGGCUAGAGUGCUGGAGGGGAGACUGGAAUUUACGGUGUAGCAGUGAAAUGCGUAGAUAUCGUAAGGAAGACCAGUGGCGAAGGCGGCUAUCUGGCCCGUAAUUGACGCUGAGGCGCGAAAGCGUGGGGAGCAAACAGG